AAUCUACUCAUGAUCCUAGUAUCAUUGGCUCUAUAGUCUACUCAUGAUCCUAGUAUCAUUAGUAUAAAUUGUCCAGGUGUGACAGGGGAGGUAGGUGACCCACCCAGGGGCAGGAUGAGGAUGGAGGAGGAGGAGGAGGAGUAGUGUAGAGGAGGAGGAGGAGGGGUGGAGCUCAGCUACUGAACAAGGACCGGUCGGUGCGUUCCGACGUGAACUCAUGAAUAGUUCUGUGAUCAACCCAACAAACCAGCAGGACAGGUCGACAUUUUACCUGUUGCCCUGGUUACCUGGGCUGAACACGCCCACCCCAGCUGCUACCAAUCAGGAGAGGGAGUGAAGAGGUGCAGGCAGCAAGGAAUCCUCAGUAUUCUAGUUUCAACAGCCUGCCGACAGACACAGAACCACGGACAGACUAGAGACAGACAGACAUGUCAUUUUUUUCAGGACUUGUGGAGAAGGCAGUAGAUAAAGCUGUGGACCAUGCCAAGGACAAAGUGAUGGAUAUGCUGGGAGUAGGAGGCAAGGACGAGGACGAGGAGGAGGAGGAGGAAGGAGGCAUCAAGAAGUUCUUCUCCUUUGGGAAGGACAAGGAGGAGGAUGACGAUGACGAUGAGAAGAAGAGCGGGCUCAGCCGCUUCCUGUCCUUUGGAGGAGAUGACGAUGAGGAGGAGAAGAAGAAGAGGAAGAAGAAGGAGGGAGGAGGUGAUGGGGACAUGUUGGACUUCCUGUCAUUUGGUGGAGAAGACGAGGAGAAGAAAGGAGGUUUCCACGGCCUCUUCUCUGAGCAGCAGCCAGGAGGUGGAGCAGGAGGCGCAGGGGGUACGUGACGAGGGCACCUCCAUCUUGAAGUCCAAUCCCUUUGGUUCAGCCAAUCAUUGAAGGGCCUGACCAAAUACCCCUUAGCUCUGCUCCCAUUUUUCAUAUAGAUGCAUAGAUAUAGAUAUCUAUCUAGAGAGAAGUUAAGCAGGAUUUAUCCUUCUUAGGCCUUCUAUAAUAUAAUACACUCUACUUAACGAGUAGUAUACUAAACUAGACCAUGAAGACAUUUCCCUAUGAGGCCAGCAUCAAACAGAGCCGGUGUUACCAUGGUUACCCUUACUGCCCACUUCAAGGAUGUAAAAUAGAUGCAAAAACGUUACAUUCUACGGAGUAGAGGUGAGCUUUGGUGAUUUGAACAUACUGAGUUGCUUCUGGUAGACACCGGUUAUGAUUCGUAUGUUAAGAAACAUUAACAUGUAAACUACAAGUUAAGAUGAGUAUGUAAAACUGUCUGAAGCCAGUGACCAGGCUUCAGACAGCCUGGUCACUAGCAGGUAACCUGGUUGAUUCUGACCGACCUGACUGGCCAGCUGCUUCCACCGGUUGAACUCGACAACCGGGUCUCGGGGGGUGAUGGGGUUGGGGGGUGAUGGGGUUGGGGGGUGAUGAUGUUUGGGUGAUGUUUUGUGUUUGGGGUGACGGUGUGGUGGGGGGGGGGCUGAUUUUGGCUACGGUGAUGGUGUUGGGGGAUGGAUGAUGCUGGGUUGAUGGUGUUUCGGGUUGGGGUGAUGGUGUGGUGGAGGGGGGGGGGGGGGCUGAUGAGGCUAGGGUGAUGGUGUUGGGGGUUGGAUGAUGCUGGGGUGAUGGCGAUGGGGGGUGGAUGAUACUGGUUUUGUGUUGGGGUGA
ensembl:lncRNA